rnacentral:rRNA from 1 species
CGGAGGGUGCAAGCGUUAUCCGGAUUCACUGGGUUUAAAGGGUGCGUAGGUGGGCAAGUAAGUCAGUGGUGAAAUCUCCGGGCUUAACCCGGAAACUGCCAUUGAUACUACUUGUCUUGAAUACUGUGGAGGUCAGCGGAAUAUGUCAUGUAGCGGUGAAAUGCUUAGAUAUGACAUAGAACACCAAUUGCGAAGGCAGCUGGCUACACAAACAUUGACACUGAGGCACGAAAGCGUGGGGAUCAAACAGGAUUAGAUACCCUGGUAGUCCACGCCCUAAACUAUGGAUACUCGACAUUUGCGAUAAACUGCAAGUGUCUGAGCGAAAGCAUUAAGUAUCCCACCUGGGAAGUACGAUCGCAAGAUUG